rnacentral:lncRNA from 12 species
CCAUUUUUUUCGGGGCCUCUUCGAAUUUCCUUUUUCUGCCCCAAAAUUUUGAUUUUUUUUUUUUUUUUCCAGGGUCCAAAGUCCGUUUUUUUUUUUUCCCAAAAUCCGCAUUUUUUUUGGGAAUUUUUUACCCCAAAAUCCGCAUUUUUUUGGGGAGUCUCUGAAUUCCGUUUUUUGGGCUUUUCCAAAGUUCGUCUUUUUGCCCGAAAUCCGCAUUUUUUGGGGCUCUCAAAAGUCCAACUUUUUGCCCAAAAUUCACUUUUUUUGGGGUCCUUAAAUUCCAUUUUUUGGGCUUUUCCAAAGUCCAUCAUUUUGCCCAAAAUCGCCGUUUUUUGGGCUCCUUGAAUUCCAUUUUUUCACCCCAAAAUUCACAUUUUUGGGGCUCUCCAAACUCCGUUUUUUCGCCCCAAAAUCCACAUUUUUUGGGCUUUUCCAAAGUCCAUCUUUUUGCCCGAAAUCCGCGUUUUUCGGGGUCUCUCCGAAAUUCCUUUUUUUUGGUUUUUUUCGCCCCGAAAUUUCUCCGGGGUUUUUUUUUUUUUCCUCAUUUUUACAUUUUUUUGUUUUUUGUCCGAUUUCCGGGUUUUUUGCCCCAAAUUUGCCGUUUUUGGCUCCUUCCGGAAG